GUGUAAAUUAUAGGAGUCAACUGAAAAGAACGCUAUGUCUCUCAUCGUGCAUGCACAAAAUGUCAUUCAGUUUAACUACAAGUGGAUGAUUGAUCGUACCCGGCAGCUGGCUAAUAUCAUAAUUAACAAAGUUGCUACCGUGUCUGAGAAGUUUAAUCGAAAGAAUUUGCCAGCAGUAUGAUGCUAUUGUCGCCCACAAAGAUCAUAGGCAUGGCAGUCGACUUUUGGACUAAUGGAACUGCAGAACUAUAUGGGAAGAAUGAAAAGUAGUACACCUGAAAACUAUUAUGGUUUUGCUGGCGGAUCACACUGUGAAAACUACAACCAUGAAAGGCCUUCCAUUUAUUGCGCUCUCUGCAAUUGUGCUAUUAGCAUGGGAGGCUAAGCUGGAGGCUAAUAAUGAAGGAGUCAGUAAAGGCGGCCAGAGCCAUGAGGGUUAUCUCGUGGCCCCAGAUGCUGGAUAAGUUGAAGAAGGCAGAAUCGCUUCUGGAUGACAUUCAGGUCUGAAUGAUUAUUUGACGAAGAAAAGACUAUUCUUCCCAGGGUUCUCCCCCUUCUGUGUGACAAUGAGCUUUCAGCAAUACAUUUCUGAGACAAAAGAUCCACUCUGGUUCCAGCCACACCUAAAGGGAAGCUUUGAAGGAAUUGCCAGGUUCACUUUUAAUAAUGAGAGAAAAAUUACCCACAUGGAGUCGGCAGAAAAUGAAAAAGUAGCAUGCCUACUGUGAAUAAUUCCAGCAAGUGCCAAGGGGCUAGUUGAGAAAUGGCUUCGUGAGGUGAAUAUCUUUAGCUGUUACUUGGGGUUUUGUAACUAUACAAUCAUUUUCUCUUUUAGGAGCCAUGAAUUUAAACAUGUUUAAGCAUAAGCAUAUUUUCUAGGCUAAAUGGCUGUCAGAACUUUGUCACUAUAUUGAAAGACCAGAUAUCAUCCUUAUUGCUGUUAUUUAUGGCAACUAAUUCAAUUUAUGCAAAUAUGCACAAGUAGCCACCAAAAGGCUCCCAGGGUGGGAGACUUAAUAAAUGUGUGUGUCUGAAAGCAUCCCUGUGAAUGUGUGUAUAU